rnacentral:rRNA from 1 species
UCGAGGGGCAGCGGGGAGCAAGCUUGCUUGCUCUGCCGGCGACCGGCGCACGGGUGAGUAACACGUAUGCAACCUGCCCUCCGCAGGGGGAUAACCCGGAGAAAUCCGGACUAAUACCGCGUGGUACACCUGUGGGGCAUCCCACGGGUGUUAAAAGGAAGUGAUUCCGGCGGAGGAUGGGCAUGCGGCGCAUUAGCUUGUUGGCGGGGUAACGGCCCACCAAGGCUACGAUGCGUAGGGGUUCUGAGAGGAAGGUCCCCCACACUGGUACUGAGACACGGACCAGACUCCUACGGGAGGCAGCAGUGAGGAAUAUUGGUCAAUGGGCGGGAGCCUGAACCAGCCAAGUCGCGUGAGGGAAGACGGUCCUAUGGAUUGUAAACCUCUUUAGGCGGGGAGCAAUGCCGGGCACGCGUGCCCGGAGGGAGAGUACCCGCAGAAUAAGCAUCGGCUAACUCCGUGCCAGCAGCCGCGGUAAUACGGAGGAUGCGAGCGUUAUCCGGAUUUAUUGGGUUUAAAGGGUGCGUAGGCGGAUUUUUAAGUCAGCGGUAAAAUGUCCGGGCUCAACCCGGGCCGGCCGUUGAAACUGGGGAUCUUGAGUGGGCGAGAAGUAUGCGGAAUGCGUGGUGUAGCGGUGAAAUGCAUAGAUAUCACGCAGAACUCCGAUUGCGAAGGCAGCAUACCGGCGCCCGACUGACGCUGAGGCACGAAAGCGUGGGGAUCGAACAGGAUUAGAUACCCUGGUAGUCCACGCAGUAAACGAUGAAUACUAACUGUCCGGGCAGAAUGAUGCCUGGGUGGUACAGCG